rnacentral:rRNA from 1 species
AACGAACGCUGGCGGCGUGCUUAACACAUGCAAGUCGAACGAGAAAGCGGGCUUCGGUCCGCUAGUAAAGUGGCAGACGGGUGAGUAACACGUGGGUAACCUGCCCGGAGGUGGGGGACAACCCUCCGAAAGGAGGGCUAAUACCGCAUGAUAUCCCUGAGGCUUCGGCCUUGAGGAUCAAAGCUAGCCUCUACAUGUAAGCUAGCUCCACCGGAGGGGCCCGCGGCCCAUUAGCUAGGUUGGGAGGUAACGGCUCACCAAGGCGACAAUGGGUAGCCGGCCUGAGGAGGGUGUUCGGCCGCACUGGAACUGAGACACGGUCCAGACUCCUACGGGAGGCAGCAGUGAGGAAUCUUGCGCAAUGGGCGAAAGCCUGACGCAGC